CGGAGGGUGCGAGCGUUAUCCGGAAUUACUGGGUUUAAAGGGUGCGUAGGCGGCUUUGUAAGUCAGGAGUGAAAGUUUGCGGCUCAACCGUAAAAUUGCUUCUGAUACUGCAUGGCUAGAAUUAGGAUGAGGUCAGCGGAAUGUGGCAUGUAGCGGUGAAAUGCAUAGAUAUGCCAUAGAACACCAAUUGCGAAGGCAGCUGACUAGACCUGGAUUGACGCUGAGGCACGAAAGCGUGGGGAGCGAACAGGAUUAGAUACCCUGGUAGUCCACGCCCUAAACGAUGCUUACUCGACGUAUGAAGCUAGACUUUGUGCGUCCAAGGGAAACCGUUAAGUAAGCCACCUGGGGAGUACGACCGCAAGGUUG
rnacentral:rRNA from 1 species